rnacentral:rRNA from 1 species
GACGAACGCUGGCGGCGUGCCUAAUACAUGCAAGUUGAGCGCUGAAGGUUGGUACUUGUACCAACUGGAUGAGCAGCGAACGGGUGAGUAACGCGUGGGGAAUCUGCCUUUGAGCGGGGGACAACAUUUGGAAACGAAUGCUAAUACCGCAUAAAAACUUUAAACACAAGUUUUAAGUUUGAAAGAUGCAAUUGCAUCACUCAAAGAUGAUCCCGCGUUGUGUUAGCUAGUUGGUGAGGUAAAGGCUCACCAAGGCGAUGAUAGAUAGCCGACCUGAGAGGGUGAUCGGCCACAUUGGGACUGAGCCACGGCCCAAACUCCUACGGGAGGCAGCAGUAGGGAAUCUUCGGCAAUGGACGAAAGUCUGAUCGAGCAACGCCGCGUGCGUGAAGAAAGUUUUCGGAUCGUAAAACUCUGUUGGUAGAGAAGAACGUUGGUGAGAGUGGAAAGCUCAUCAAGUGACGGUAACUACCCAGAAAGGGACGGCUAACUACGUGCCAGCCGCCGCCGUAA